UCCACAAGAAAAGAACAGAGUAACAUUAGUAAUUUAGUACAUUACUGCUUUGGAAAAGAACUGUUCCCAUCUGCACAUUCUGGUUCGAUUCUGUCUAGGGUUCGAUUCGAACAUAACUUGUACUCGUGAAGCUACAGGAAACAGAUGGGAGAAUCUCAGAGGUCUUUUAAAGACUUUGUUUACUUUAUUCAUCGUCUUUACUUUCCUUCACAGCUUCUAAGCUCAAGCUGCUCCUCCUGCUGGUUCGUUGGUUAAGCACAUGUCCUCGGUUCUCAAGUGGAUUACAGGAUCAUCACCCUCUAAAACAUUUUUCCAAUCAGAUCAAAUGUUCUUGAGUUUGAGAAUGGUUACUUGGUCGAUCAACUUAGUAGCAACAUCAUCAAAAUCACUCCUCCCUUAUCCCACUACAGCAAGGGAAGAUUGGUGGCUGGAUCAUUUCAAGGUAAAACGGGACAUGCUGAUGGAAAACAUAGCGAGGAGGCUCGUUUUAAUCAUCCUAAAAGGAGUCACAAUGGAUGAUAAAGGGAAUGUUUAUGUCGCUGAUACUUUGAACCUAGCCAUAAUUUGAGAUUCAGGAAAAAAAUAAAAAAAAUUGAGAUUCAGGUGUCACUGCUAUAUCUGGAGGGAAAUCAUAUGUAGCUGGGUUGUAGAGAUGGACUAUGCUCAGUUCUAUGCCUCGGAAGAGGGAUCAAGGCGUCGCCAUAGAGAUAAAACAACCGAGACAGAACCAAAGACGCAGCAGCAUCACAUACAGUGAAGCCUGUAAAGUACAGUAUAAUAAUGAAGGAUUGUUGAUCUGUUUCAUGCUCUAAUUUGCCUUUUGUUGCUGUUAAAGAAUUUUCUCUCUAUGUGUUUCCUUUUAAAUCCACAGCUUUUCUUCCAAAAUAUAUAUCUAAUCACCAGAAGGAAAAGAUGACUUCCUUUGGUAAGAAUAUAUGUGGCUGAUUGUUUCCUGCUAUUUGUUGCAGGGUCAGUGAAAGCUGAAAACAAGACCAGCAAAGAGUUUUGAGACCAUGGUACAGGUAUGACACUUGUAGCUCUUCUAGAAUUGAUCUUGCAUUCUAACAUUAGGAUGUACAGAUGAAUAUUUUCAAGGGACUAAAGGUAGAAUGAGCAGAAUACAGUUUCGAAAGGGAAAAAGAAUAAAAACAUAAAGGGCCCUACCGGCGACCUCUUGAUCUGCAGUCAAAUGCUCUACCACUGAGCUAAGGACCCUUUUUGUCAUUAUCUGUAAUAGUUUACAUUCUGUUACUUAGAAUUUCACCGUAAGAGAUUGGGUGCUCAUGCAAAGACCAUUGUGAUUUCUCCAUGGUUGUCUGGCUUUGAGACAUAGCUAACGCAUGAAUAUGAUUCUUAAUUCACGUUCA